rnacentral:rRNA from 1 species
GUAGGUGGCAAGCGUUGUCCGGAAUUAUUGGGCGUAAAGCGCGCGCAGGCGGUCCUUUAAGUCUGAUGUGAAAGCCCACGGCUCAACCGUGGAGGGUCAUUGGAAACUGGGGGACUUGAGUACAGAAGAGGAAAGCGGAAUUCCAAGUGUAGCGGUGAAAUGCGUAGAGAUUUGGAGGAACACCAGUGGCGAAGGCGGCUUUCUGGUCUGUAACUGACGCUGAGGCGCGAAAGCGUGGGGAGCAAACAGGAUUAGAUACCCUGGUAGUCCACGCCGUAAACGAUGAGUGCUAAGUGCUAGGGGGUUUCCCGCCCCUUAGUGCUGCAGCUAACGCAUUAAGCACUCCGCCUGGGGAGUACGGCCGCAAGGCUG